GCUCUCUCUGCUAGGUCUGCUUCUAAGCUUCUCUCUCAAGGGAGAAGUGUCAGUAGAUUUAGCAAUGCUACAGUAAGUGAAGAGUUGAUCACCCCACCUGUUCAUAUGAAUUGGUGCAGGCAAAUGGUAUGGCAACAUACUUUGUUACAUUGACUACAUAUCUUGGCCUUUGGUGUGGCAGAAUAUUACUUGCUUGACAUACUUUCUCCACCAAAUGGUAUGGCAGAAUAUUACUUUGCUUGACAGUUUCUUCUGGAUAUCAGACAUAUAUAAAGGGUCUAGUUGAUCAAGGGGUGGAGAUCAUGUGCAGUGACCACGCUGGGUAGAGAUGGUAGUGAUUUGACAGCUACAACCAUUGGUAAAGCACGUUGGCAGGAACUUGACCAUGUUGUGGAAGAACUGGAGAAAAUCGUUGUU
rnacentral:lncRNA from 1 species